GUCUCUAGUUGCUACGCAAGGGCACUCUAGAGAGACUGCCGGUGACAAACCGGAGGAAGGUGGGGAUGACGUCAAGUCCUCAUGGCCCUUAUGGGUAGGGCUUCACACGUCAUACAAUGGUCGGUACAGAGGGUUGCCAACCCGCGAGGGGGAGCUAAUCCCAGAAAGCCGAUCGUAGUCCGGAUUGGAGUCUGCAACUCGACUCCAUGAAGUCGGAAUCGCUAGUAAUCGCGGAUCAGCUUGCCGCGGUGAAUACGUUCCCGGGUCUUGUACACACCGCCCGUCACACCAUGGGAGUGGGUUUUACCAGAAGCAGCUAGCCUAACCGUAAGGAGGGCGGCUACCACGGUAGGGUUCAUGACUGGGGUGAAG
rnacentral:rRNA from 1 species